rnacentral:rRNA from 1 species
AUUGAACGCUGGCGGCAUGCCUUACACAUGCAAGUCGAACGGCAGCACGGGAGCUUGCUCCUGGUGGCGAGUGGCGAACGGGUGAGUAAUACAUCGGAACGUACCCUGAAGUGGGGGAUAACGUAGCGAAAGUUACGCUAAUACCGCAUAUUCUGUGAGCAGGAAAGAGGGGGAUCGCAAGACCUCUUGCUUUAGGAGCGGCCGAUGUCGGAUUAGCUAGUUGGUGAGGUAAAGGCUUCACCAAGGCGACGAUCCGUAGCGGGUCUGAGAGGAUGAUCGCCACACUGGGACUGAGACACGGCCCCAGGACUCCUACGGGAGGCAGCAGUGGGGAAUUUUGGACAAUGGGCGCAAGCCUGAUCCAGCCAUGCCGCGUGAGUGAAGAAGGCCUCGGGUUGU